AGGAGUGGAGCCUGCGGCUUAAUUUGACUCAACACGGGAAACCUCACCAGGCCCAGACACUGGAAGGAUUGACAGAUUGAGAGCUCUUUCUUGAUUCAGUGGGUGGUGGUGCAUGGCCGUUCUUAGUUGGUGGAGCGAUUUGUCUGGUUAAUUCCGAUAACGAACGAGACUCUAGCCUACUAAAUAGACGUUACACUUUCCAGUAUCUCGAAGGCUCACAUCUUUCGCUACAUUACUGCACAUCGCCGGUCAUUUCGGUGAUUGGUUGGUGUGUGGUGGGCGGGAGUUUGUGGUUUUUACUACUGGCGUACAUAUAUUUCUUCUUAGAGGGACAGGCGGCUUCUAGCCGCACGAGAUUGAGCAAUAACAGGUCAGUGAUGCCCUUAGAUGUUCUGGGCCG
rnacentral:rRNA from 1 species